rnacentral:rRNA from 1 species
AGUUUGAUUAUGGUCGAUUGAACGCUGGCGGGAUGCUUUACAUGCAAGUCGAACGGCAGCACGGACUUCGGUCUGGUGGCGAGUGGCGAACGGGUGAGUAAUGUAUCGGAACGUGCUCGUAGCGGGGAUAUUAACCACGCGAGUGUAGCUAAUAUCGCACACACUCGGGGAAAGUGGGGACCCCGGCUCCCGCACUAUUAGAGCGGCCGAUAUCGGAUUAGCUAGUUGGUGGGGUAACGGCUCACCAAGGCGACGAUCCGUAGUUGGUUUGAGAGGACGACCAGCCACACUGGGACUGAGACACGGCCCAGACUCCUACGGGAGGCAGCAGUGGGGAAUUUUGGACAAUGGGGGAAACCCCGAUCCAGCCAUCCCGCGUGUGCGAUGAAGGCCUUCGGAUUGUAAAGCACUUUUGGCAGGAAAGAAACGGCACGGGAUAAUACCCCGUGCAACUGACGGUACCUGCAGAAUAAGCACCGGCUAACUACGUGCCAGCAGCUGCGGUAAUACGGUGGUGCAAGCGUUAAUCGGAAUUACUGGGCGUAAAAGCGUGCGCAGGCGGUUCGAAAAGAAAGAUGUGAAAUCCCAGAGCUUAACUUUGGAACUGCAUUUUUAACUACCGAGCUUCAGAGUGUGUCAGAGGGAGGUGGAAUUCCGCGUGUAGCAGUGAAAUGCGUAGAUAUGCGGAGGAACACCGAUGGCGAAGGCAGCCUCCCUGGGAUAACACUGACGCUCAUGCACGAAAGGUGGGGAGCAAACAGGAUUAGAUACUCCUGGUAGUCCACGUCAAACGAUGUCAACUAGCUGCUAGCCUUCGGGCCUCGGUAGCGCAGCUAACGCGUGAAGUUGACCGCCUGGGGAGUACGGUCGCAAGAUUAAAACUCAAAGGAACGACGGGACCCGCACAAGCGGUGGAUGAUGUGGAUUAAUUCGAUGCAACGCGAAAACCUUACCUAAAUUUUUGACAUGUCUAAUCCUUUGCAGAUUGGGAGCUCGCAGAGAACCGAACACAGGUGCUGCAUGGCUGUCGUCAAGGUGUCAGUGAGAUGUUGGAACAAGUCCUGCAACGAGCGCAACCCUUGUCAUUAGUUGCUACGAAAGGGCACCCCCAAUGAGACUGCCGGUGACAAACCGAGGAAGGUGGGGAUGACGUCAAGUCCUCAUGGCCUUUGCGGUAGGGCCGGUACGUCAUACAAUGGUCGGGACAGAGGGUCGCCAACCCGCGAGGGGGAGCCAAUCCUGCAAACCGAUCGUAGUCCGAUCGCAGGUCUGCAACUUGACUGCGUGAAGUCGGAAUCGCUAGACUGAUCAGCAUGUCGCGGUGAAUACGUUCCCGGGUCUUGUACACACCGCCCGUCACACCAUGGGAGUGGGUUUUACCAGAAGUAGUUAGCCUAACCGUAAGGAGGGCGAUUACCACGGUAGGAUUCAUGACUGGGGUGAAGGUCGUAACAAGGUAG